rnacentral:rRNA from 1 species
GAUGAACGCUGGCGGCGUGCCUAAUACAUGCAAGUCGAGCGAACAGACGAGGAGCUUGCUCCUCUGACGUUAGCGGCGGACGGGUGAGUAACACGUGGAUAACCUACCUAUAAGACUGGGAUAACUUCGGGAAACCGGAGCUAAUACCGGAUAAUAUAUUGAACCGCAUGGUUCAAUAGUGAAAGACGGUUUUGCUGUCACUUAUAGAUGGAUCCGCGCCGCAUUAGCUAGUUGGUAAGGUAACGGCUUACCAAGGCAACGAUGCGUAGCCGACCUGAGAGGGUGAUCGGCCACACUGGAACUGAGACACGGUCCAGACUCCUACGGGAGGCAGCAGUAGGGAAUCUUCCGCAAUGGGCGAAAGCCUGACGGAGCAACGCCGCGUGAGUGAUGAAGGUCUUCGGAUCGUAAAACUCUGUUAUUAGGGAAGAACAAAUGUGUAAGUAACUAUGCACGUCUUGACGGUACCUAAUCAGAAAGCCGCGGCUAACUACGUG